UACGUAGGGGGCUAGCGUUGUCCGGAAUCAUUGGGCGUAAAGAGCGUGUAGGCGGUCCGGUAAGUCCGCUGUGAAAGUCGGGGGCUCAACCCUCGAAUGCCGGUGGAUACUGUCGGGCUAGAGUGCGGAAGAGGCGAGUGGAAUUCCUGGGUGUAGCGGUGAAAUGCGCAGAUAUCAGGAGGAACACCAAUUGCGAAGGCAGCUCGCUGGGACGUAACUGACGCUGAGACGCGAAAGCGUGGGGAGCAAACAGG
rnacentral:rRNA from 1 species